rnacentral:rRNA from 1 species
UGGGGAAUUUUCCGCAAUGGGCGAAAGCCUGACGGAGCGACGCCGCGUGGGGGAUGAAGGUUUUCGGAUUGUAAACCCCUUUCGGCAGGGACGAUAAUGACGGUACCUGCAAAAGAAGCAUCGGCUAACUACGUGCCAGCAGCCGCGGUAAGACGUAGGAUGCAAGCGUUGUUCGGAUUUAUUGGGCGUAAAGCGUACGUAGGCGGUUCGGUAAGUGGGAGGUUAAAGACUGGGGCUCAACCCCAGGAGUGCCCCCCAAACUGUCGGACUAGAGGUUCAUAGGGGAAAGUGGAAUUCCGAGUGUAGCGGUGAAAUGCGUAGAUAUUCGGAGGAACGCCAGUGGCGAAAGCGACUUUCUGGGUGACACCUGACGCUGAGGUACGAAAGCAUGGGGAGCAAACAGGAUUAGAUACCCCCGUAGUCC